CCUGUUGAAAAAGUCUCGGAUGAGCUGUGGAUAGGGGUGAAAGGCCAAUCAAGGCUGGAAAUAGCUGGUUCUCCGCGAAAUCUAUUUAGGUAGAGCCUCGAGUGAAUACCCCAGGGGGUAGAGCACUGGAUGGGCUAGGGGCCCCCACAGGGUUACCAAACCUAACCAAACUCCGAAUACCUGGGAGUACUACUCGGGAGACACACGGCGGGUGCUAACGUCCGUCGUGAAAAGGGAAAAACCCUGACCGACAGCUAAGGUCCUCAAGUCAUGGCUAAGUGGGAAAGGAUGUGGAAAUCCCAAAACAACCAGGAGGUUGGCUUAGAAGCAGCCAUCCUUUAAAGAAAGCGUAACAGCUCACUGGUCUAAAUAAGGGUUUCUGCGCCGAAAAUGUAACGGGGCUAAAGCCAUGCACCGAAGCUUCGGGUGUGCGCAAGCACGCGGUAGCGGAGCGUUCCGUAAGUCUGUGAAGGGAGACCCGUGAGGGCUCCUGGAGAUAUCGGAAGUGCGAAUGCAGACAUGAGUAACGACA
rnacentral:rRNA from 1 species